GGUUCCAAGGUUUGGCCACAAUAUUUGGAGACAUUUCCUGUUAGGAGUUAAGCUUUGGUUUGGAGGCAUUGAACUUUGGCUGUAAAUAACUAACUUUGUUACUUGGUAUACUUCUCUCAGUUCAUGUAAACAACUAUCUACCACACCACACUGGUUAAUCUGGGAUUUCCUUCGGGACCAAA